rnacentral:rRNA from 1 species
CAGCCGCCGCGGUAAUACGUAGGGUGCGAGCGUUAAUCGGAUUUACUGGGCGUAAAGCGUGCGCAGGCGGCCCGUUAAGACAGGUGUGAAAUCCCUGGGCUCAACCUAGGAAUUGCGCUUGUGACUGGCGGGCUCGAGUACGGUAGAGGGGGGUGGAAUUCCUGGUGUAGCAGUGAAAUGCGUAGAGAUCAGGAGGAACACCGAUGGCGAAGGCAGCCCCCUCGGCCUGUACUGACGCUCAUGCACGAAAGCGUGGGGAGCAAACAGGAUUAGAUACCCUGGUAGUCCACGCCCUAAACGAUGGGUACUAGCCGUUUGGUGCGCGAUAGCGCUGAGUGGCGAAGCUAACGCGUGAAGUACCCCGCCUGGGGAGUACGGCCGCAAGGUUGAAACUUAAAGGAAUUGGCGGG